rnacentral:lncRNA from 1 species
CCAAGACCUUCAUAUCUGCUCCACGAGCUCAGCGCACUGGGCAGCCCGCUUGGUGCUUAGUAGACGCUGACGCUGCUCAUCUCACUUGUCUUCCCGUCCCCCAGGGAGAAACCGACGUCCCCAUCUCAUCCCGCUAGUGAGGCUGUUCCCCAAGCUACCUUGGGGCUGGUCUAGCAGAACAUCCCACUUCCUGUGUCCUCCGAGGAGAGAUUAGCAGAAGGUGAAGAACAGCUAGCCCUGCCCAGAGCUCCCCCGCUGCUCUGAUCAAACACCACCCCGCUGGCUCUUCUUGCACGGGUUCCCCCAGCGCAGGCCAGAAACAGCUGAUCAAACACAUCAGGACAAGCUCAGAAUGGCCUUGGGCUGCUGGAAGUUGCUUGGAAGCCCCGCAUUAGAGCUUCAGCCCUCAACCUGAGAUUCUGCUUUGGAAGCCAUCUGAUAGAGUGGAAAGAGUUCUAGACCAGGUG